rnacentral:rRNA from 1 species
GGUCAAGCGAAUAAGUGCAUGUGGUGGAUGCCUUGGCGAUCACAGGCGAUGAAGGACGUUGCAGCGUGCGAAAAGCCACGGGGAGCUCGCAAACAAGCUUUGAUCCGUGGAUGUCCGAAUGGGGAAACCCGGCCCGCAAGGGUCACUCCCACCUGAAUACAUAGGGUGGGUAGAGCGAACCCGGUGAACUGAAACAUCUAAGUAGCCGGAGGAACAGAAAUCAACCGAGAUUCCGAAAGUAGUGGCGAGCGAAAUCGGAAGAGCCUGCACAAUUUAACCAUUACGCUAGCAGAGCGGUCUGGAAAGACCGGCCAUAGUGGGUGAUAGCCCCGUAUGCGAAAGCCUGAUGGUGGAACUGAGUGUGCGACAAGUAGGGCGGGACACGUGAAAUCCUGUCUGAAGAUGGGGGGACCAUCCUCCAAGGCUAAAUACUCGUGAUCGACCGAUAGUGAACCAGUACCGUGAGGGAAAGGCGAAAAGAACCCCGGGAGGGGAGUGAAAUAGAUCCUGAAACCGCAUGCAUACAAACAGUGGGAGCCCCUGCUUCAAGCACCUUCGAAACUCUUUCGAGGAGCAUCGCGCAGCGAUGCGACUCAAAAGAAAUAAAGAAGGGGUGAAGCCUUCGAGGUUCUUUCGAGGAGCAUCGCGCAGCGAUGCGACUCAAAAGGUUUAAGAAGGAGUGAAAUGGAUAAGCAAUAGCUUGUUCAUUUGGAGGCGGGUGACUGACGAUUCGAGCGCGAGCGAGAAGCGUUAGGCGGCCCUGCGAGGACACCCGGAGGGUGUUUGAAGCAGGGGUGACUGCGUACCUUUUGUAUAAUGGGUCAGCGACUUACAUUCAGUGGCGAGCUUAACCGAAUAGGGGAGGCGUAGCGAAAGCGAGUCCGAACAGGGCGAUUCAGUCGCUGGGUGUAGACCCGAAACCAGAUGAUCUACCCAUGGCCAGGAUGAAGGUUGGGUAACACCAGCUGGAGGUCCGAACCCACUACCGUUGAAAAGGUAGGGGAUGAGCUGUGGGUAGGGGUGAAAGGCCAAACAAAUCUGGAGAUAGCUGGUUCUCUCCGAAAGCUAUUUAGGUAGCGCCUCGUGUAUCACUUCUGGGGGUAGAGCACUGUAAUGGUUGUGGGGGUCAUUGCGACUUACCGCGCCAUAGCAAACUCCGAAUACCGGAAAGUGUGAGCACGGGAGACAGACUUGGGGUGCUAACGUCCUGAGUCGAGAGGGAAACAACCCAGACCGCCGAUUAAGGUCCCGAAGACACAGUUAAGUGGGAAACGAGGUGGGAAGGCUUAGACAGCCAGGAGGUUGGCUUAGAAGCAGCCAUCCUUUAAAGAAAGCGUAAUAGCUCACUGGUCGAGUCGUCCUGCGCGGAAAAUGUAACGGGGCUCAAACUGUGCACCGAAAUCGCGGAUCCGCAUGCUCCUUUUACUUCAUUGAUAUGGCUCGCUUGGGUGAGGCUAACCUGCUUGCAGGUUAAGCCCUGCAAGGGCGGCCGAGACCAAAGCCCCCACGCAAAGUCGAGGCGGGUGAUGAGAGUGAACAGUGAAGUAAAAGGAGUGUGCGGAUGGUAGGAGAGCGUUCCGUAGGCCGUUGAAGGUGGGGUGUGAACCCUGCUGGAGGUAUCGGAAGUGCGAAUGCUGACAUGAGUAGCGAUAAAGCGGGUGAAAGGCCCGCUCGCCGAAAGCCCAAGGUUUCCUGCGCAACGUUCAUCGGCGCAGGGGUGAGUCGGCCCCUAAGGCGAGGCCGAAAGGCGUAGUCGAUGGGAAACAGGUUAAUAGUCCUGUACCUUUAUGCAAUGCGAUGGGGGGACGGAGAAGGUUAGGCAGGCCGGGUGUUGGAAGUCCCGGUUCAAGCGUGUAGGCGUGCCCGGUAGGCAAAUCCGCUGGGCUUAGCCGAGGCGUGAUGACGCAAGGUCCUUCGGGAUCCCAAGUUGCUGAGACCCCGCUUCCAGGAAAAGCCUCUAAGCUUCAGUUGCAUGAAGACCGUACCGCAAACCGACACAGGUGGGCAGGAUGAAGAUUCUAAGGCGCUUGAGAGAACUCAGGAGAAGGAACUCGGCAAAUUAGCACCGUAACUUCGGGAGAAGGUGCGCCCCGGUAGUGUGUAGCGGCUUGCCCGUGAAGCACGAUGGGGUUGCAGUGAAUUGGUGGCUGCGACUGUUUAAUAAAACACAGCACUCUGCAAACACGAAAGUGGACGUAUAGGGUGUGACGCCUGCCCGGUGCCGGAAGGUUAAGUGAUGGGGUGCAAGCUCUUGAUCGAAGCCCCGGUAAACGGCGGCCGUAACUAUAACGGUCCUAAGGUAGCGAAAUUCCUUGUCGGGUAAGUUCCGACCUGCACGAAUGGCGUAACGAUGGCCACACUGUCUCCUCCUGAGACUCAGCGAAGUUGAAGUGUUUGUGAAGAUGCAAUCUACCCGCUGCUAGACGGAAAGACCCCAUGCACCUUUACUGUAGCUUUGCAUUGGACUUUGAUGAGACUUGUGUAGGAUAGGUGGGAGGCUUUGAAGGCGGGAUGCUAGUCCCGCUGGAGCCGUCCUUGAAAUACCACCCUGGUGUCAUUGAGGUUCUAACCUGGAUCCAUUAUCUGGAUCGGGGACCGUGCAUGGCAGGCAGUUUGACUGGGGCGGUCUCCUCCCAAAGGGUAACGGAGGAGUUCGAAGGUUCGCUAGGUACGGUCGGACAUCGUACUGAUAGUGCAUUGGCAAAAGCGAGCUUGACUGCGAGACGGACAUGUCGAGCAGGUGCGAAAGCAGGACAAAGUGAUCCGGUGGUUCUGUAUGGAAGGGCCAUCGCUCAACGGAUAAAAGGUACGCUGGGGAUAACAGGCUGAUGACUCCCAAGAGUUCAUAUCGACGGAGUCGUUUGGCACCUCGAUGUCGGCUCAUCACAUCCUGGGGCUGUAGCCGGUCCCAAGGGUAUGGCUGUUCGCCAUUUAAAGUGGUACGUGAGCUGGGUUUAAAACGUCGUGAGACAGUUUGGUCCCUAUCUGCAGUGGGCGUUGGAGAUUUGACGGGGGCUGCUCCUAGUACGAGAGGACCGGAGUGGACGCACCUCUGGUGUACCGGUUAUGACGCCAGUCGUAUCGCCGGGUAGCUAUGUGCGGAAGAGAUAACCGCUGAAAGCAUCUAAGCGGGAAACUUGCCUGAAGAUGAGAUCUCCCGGAGGCUUGACCUCCCUGAAGGGUCGUGGAAGACCACCACGUUGAUAGGCCGGGUGUGGAAGCGCAGUAAUGCGUUAAGCUAACCGGUACUAAUUGCCCGUGCGGCUUGAUCCU